GCUGCCGCUUGCACCUGCUGCUGGUGCCCAGCGCCAGUCCUGAUCACUUGGUGCCAUCAGCAGGUGCGAGCGGCUGCUG
rfam:Myotis lucifugus cont2.6436, whole genome shotgun sequence.